GACGAACGCUGGCGGCGUGCUUAACACAUGCAAGUCGAACGGAAAGGCCCUGCUUUUGUGGGGUGCUCGAGUAGCGAACGGGUGAGUAACACGUGAGUAACCUGCCCUUGACUUUGGGAUAACUUCAGGAAACUGGGGCUAAUACCGGAUAGGAGCUCCUGCUGCAUGGUGGGGGUUGGAAAGUUUCGGCGGUUGGGGAUGGACUCGCGGCUUAUCAGCUUGUUGGUGGGGUAGUGGCUUACCAAGGCUUUGACGGGUAGCCGGCCUGAGAGGGUGACCGGCCACAUUGGGACUGGGAUACGGCCCAGACUCCUACGGGAGGCAGCAGUGGGGAAUAUUGCACAAUGGGCGGAAGCCGGAUGCAGCAACGCCGCGUGCGGGAUGACGGCCUUCGGGUUGUAAACCGCUUUCGCCUGUGACGAAGCGUGAGUGACGGUAAUGGGUAAAGAAGCACCGGCUAACUACGUG
rnacentral:rRNA from 1 species